AUGCUGCCCAAACUAGAGAUCUUGUGGAUCAGUAGCAUCAGCUCAGCUCCUCCUCCCUGCAGCUGGCUGAGUGCUUUGCAGACAGAGACAGGAGACUCCAGAGCCCAGUCAGUGACCCAGCCUGACAAUCACAUCAGUGUCUCUGAAAGAGCCCCACUGGAGUUGAAAUGCAAAUAUUCCUAUGAUGCUGUUACUGCUCUCUACUGGUAUGUGCAAUACCCCAGCCAAGGCCUCCAGCUUCUCCUCAAGCACUUUUUAACAGACACCCUGGUUCAAGGCAUUAAAGGCUUUGAGGCUGAAUUUAAGAAGAGUGAAUCUUCCUUCAACCUGAAGAAAUCCUCGGCCCAUUUGAGCGACUCAGCUGUGUACUUCUGUGCUCUGAGUGACACAGUGUUUGAGACUGCAGGGGGAGCUGAACAUAAACCACUCAUGGCAGUGGAGUUUUCAGAGACUUGA